rnacentral:piRNA from 1 species
AAAUGCUCUAACCUUGACCUACAUC